rnacentral:lncRNA from 1 species
UCCAUUAAACCAUUUAAACGAAGAGAUAAGAAAUAGUUGAAGAUUUUCAUCAAUUUCUCUUGGACUAAAUUGCUGGUGACUAGUAACCUUCCUUGGCCCCAAUGUGAUGAAGAAUACAAGUUAUCUUUGCUUCAAAAUCAUUUUCUAACAUUUUUCAAAACUUGAAAUGUGGAUGCCAAAACUACACAAUAUUUAUCCUAUUACUCGUCAAACUUUUAUUUCAUGUUUUUCAUAAACAAAAUAUCCAUUCUUUCACCUUUCUUAACAAACUUCAAUUUAAUCUUACAAACACUUCCAUAAUAUAAGUUGGUAGUAAGAUAAUUUAUCAAAAAGAUAUUUUUAGAGGAAACUAAAGGGGAUGGUUGCUAUCCAUAUGUGUAUGUCUAUGUUUGCAGCAGUAAGCAACAACCAAUCACUUCAUCGAUCGGUUCACAGACUGACAAAGUUGUUGAAUCCCUUCAAAAUAGAUAUUGAUUCCACUAAAUUAACUUGUAGAAAUAGUGCAAUCAAGUCGAAUCCCAAGAAAGCUAAAUUUAUUAGAAUCUCAGAGUUUAGACAAGAAGAGUAAAAUUGGGGGGUUUUGAAUUAUUGAACUAAAAUUAAUGAUAAACAAGAAAUUAAUUAAAACCUGAAUAUUAAAAUUAAUGAGAAUCAAAUCUUCCAAACUUCCAAUUGAAAGGUGUAAAUUUCAUCCAAUUGUAAUUCCGAUAAUAGGCUUAAAAAUUACUUUCUCUUAUCCAAUUUCUUUAGUCUUCUUAUUUGGAAAAGCUGCAACAAGUUUAGUUCUCCUAAUAUAAUUGAUUCUGACUAAUUGUUCGAAUCAAAACUUACCACUAAACAACAAGGCACGAUAGCAUUCCAUAUUAAAUUCAAUGACAACAUUAAGAAUCAUGAGAAAGACUAAACCAAAAUCAGUUAAUUGAGGUAGCCACAGUUAAAUUAAUCUUGUACAUUAAUUUCCCUGGAGGAUAUCAUGCAAGCUAUGUAAUUGAGAAAGCCACAACAACACACACAUGUUGCUACUUAUAUAAAUCAUUCAUGACAAUUACGGAUCACAAACUCAUGGAUAUCAAUAGAAAAUUCAAUAUUGAAUUAAGGCAUCAAUUUAAUCAACAUAAAAAAUUCAUAAGAAUAAGAACAAGAAAUAAAUAUUACUUGAAUUAAAGAAGAAGUUUCGGUUUAGCACAAGCCUCACGAAAUCAUUGUUGAAUUGAUUCACAUUUGAAUCACAAAUAAAAACUUAGCCACACAUAAUGGAAAAGUUCACAUGGGUU